rnacentral:rRNA from 1 species
GAUGAACGCUGGCGGCGUGCUUAACACAUGCAAGUCGAACGAUGAAGCCCAGCUUGCUGGGUGGAUUAGUGGCGAACGGGUGAGUAACACGUGAGUAACCUGCCCUUAACUCUGGGAUAAGCCUGGGAAACUGGGUCUAAUACCGGAUAGGAGCGCCUACCGCCUGGUGGGUGUUGGAAAGAUUUAUCGGUUUUGGAUGGACUCGCGGCCUAUCAGCUUGUUGGUGAGGUAAUGGCUCACCAAGGCGACGACGGGUAGCCGGCCUGAGAGGGUGACCGGCCACACUGGGACUGAGACACGGCGCAGACUCCUACGGGAGGCAGCAGUGGGGAAUAUUGCACAAUGGGCGAAAGCCUGAUGCAGCGACGCCGCGUGAGGGAUGACGGCCUUCGGGUUGUAAACCUCUUUCAGUAGGGAAGAAGCGAAAGUGACGGUACCUGCAGAAGAAGCACCGGCUAACUACGUG